rnacentral:rRNA from 1 species
AAGACGUGCGCAGGCGGUUAUAUAAGACAGAUGUGAAAUCCCCGGGCUCAACCUGGGAACUGCAUUUGUGACUGUAUAGCUGGAGUGCGGCAGAGGGGGAUGGAAUUCCGCGUGUAGCAGUGAAAUGCGUAGAUAUGCGGAGGAACACCGAUGGCGAAGGCAAUCCCCUGGGCCUGCACUGACGCUCAUGCACGAAAGCGUGGGGAGCAAACAGGAUUAGAUACCCUAGU